CCUACGGGAGGCAGCAGUGAGGAAUAUUGGUCAAUGGACGAGAGUCUGAACCAGCCAAGUAGCGUGAAGGAUGACUGCCCUAUGGGUUGUAAACUUCUUUUAUACAGGAGUAAAACGAGACACGUGUGUCUAUGUGCAUGUACUUUAUGAAUAAGGAUCGGCUAACUCCGUGCCAGCAGCCGCGGUAAUACGGAGGAUCCGAGCGUUAUCCGGAUUUAUUGGGUUUAAAGGGUGCGUAGAUGGGUUGUUAAGUCAGUUGUGAAAGGUUGCUGCUCAACCGGAAAAUUGCAAUUGAUACUGGCAGUCUUGAGUACAGUUGAGGUAGGCGGAAUGCGUGGUGUAGCGGUGAAAUGCUUAGAUAUCACGAAGAACCCCGAUUGCGAAGGCAGCUUACUAAACUGUGACUGACAUUGAUGCUCGAAAGUGUGGGGAUCAAACAGGAUUAGAUACCCGAGUAGUC
rnacentral:rRNA from 1 species